rnacentral:rRNA from 1 species
UAGGACGAGAAGACCCUAUAGAAUUUUAUAUAAUUUUUAAAUUUAUUUAAGGAAAUAAAUUUUAUUUUAAUAAUUAUAUUUUAUUGGGAGGAUAAUUAAAUAAAAUGAACUUUAAUUUAAAGAUAAUUUUAACAUUAAUUAAUGAAAUUUUUAUAAAGACUUGAUUAUUAAAUUAGAAAGAAAAUUUAUAAUAAUUAUUAUAAAAAUUAAUUACCUUAGGGAUAACAGCGUAAUAUUUUUAGAAAGAUCAUAUUGAUAAGAGUGAUUGCGACCUCGAUGU